GGUUAAGCGACUAAGCGUACACGGUGGAUGCCCUGGCAGUCAGAGGCGAUGAAGGACGUGCUAAUCUGCGAAAAGCGUCGGUAAGGUGAUAUGAACCGUUAUAACCGGCGAUGUCCGAAUGGGGAAACCCAGUGCAAUUCGUUGCACUAUCGUUAACUGAAUACAUAGGUUAACGAGGCGAACCGGGGAACUGAAACAUCUAAGUACCCCGAGGAAAAGAAAUCAACCGAGAUUCCCCCAGUAGCGGCGAGCGAACGGGGAGCAGCCCAGAGUCUGAAUCAGCUUGUGUGUUAGUGGAACGGUCUGGAAAGUCCGACGGUACAGGGUGAUAGUCCCGUACACCAAAAUGCACAGGUUGUGAACUCGAAGAGUAGGGCGGGACACGUGGUAUCCUGUCUGAAUAUGGGGGACCAUCCUCCAAGGCUAAAUACUCCUGACUGACCGAUAGUGAACCAGUACCGUGAGGGAAAGGCGAAAAGAACCCCGGCGAGGGAGUGAAAAAGAACCUGAAACCGUGUACGUACAAGCAGUGGGAGCACCUUCGGGUGUGACUGCGUACCUUUGUAUAAUGGGUCAGCGACUUAUAUUCUGUAGCAAGGUUAACCGUAUAGGGGAGCCGCAGGGAAACCGAGUCUUAACUGGGCGUUAAGUUGCAGGGUAUAGACCCGAAACCCGGUGAUCUAGCCAUGGGCAGGUUGAAGGUUGGGUAACACUAACUGGAGGACCGAACCGACUAAUGUUGAAAAAUUAGCGGAUGACUUGUGGCUGGGGUGAAAGGCCAAUCAAACCGGGAGAUAGCUGGUUCUCCCCGAAAGCUAUUUAGGUAGCGCCUCGUGAACUCAUCUUCGGGGUAGAGCACUGUUUCGGCUAGGGGGUCAUCCCGACUUACCAACCCGAUGCAAACUACGAAUACCGAAGAAUGUUAUCACGGGAGACACACGGCGGGUGCUAACGUCCGUCGUGAAGAGGAAACAACCCAGACCGCCAGCUAAGGUCCCAAAGUCAUGGUUAAGUGGGAAACGAUGUGGGAAGGCACAGACAGCCAGGGAUGUUGGCUUAGAAGCAGCCAUCAUUUAAAGAAAGCGUAAUAGCUCACUGGUCGAGUCGGCCUGCGCGGAAGAUGUAACGGGGCUAAACCAUGCACCGAAGCUGCGGCAGCGACACUAUGUGUUGUUGGGUAGGGGAGCGUUCUGUAAGCCUGCGAAGGUGUGCUGUGAGGCAUGCUGGAGGUAUCAGAAGUGCGAAUGCUGACAUAAGUAACGAUAAAGCGGGUGAAAAGCCCGCUCGCCGGAAGACCAAGGGUUCCUGUCCAACGUUAAUCGGGGCAGGGUGAGUCGACCCUAAGGCGAGGCCGAAAGGCGUAGUCGAUGGGAAACAGGUUAAUAUUCCUGUACUUGGUGUUACUGCGAAGGGGGACGGAGAAGGCUAUGUUAGCCGGGCGACGGUUGUCCCGGUUUAAGCAUGUAGGCUGAUUGUCCGAGGCAAAUCCGGAUAAUCAAGGCUGAGGUGUGAUGACGAGGCACUACGGUGCUGAAGUAACAAAUGCCCUGCUUCCGAGGAAAAGCCUCUAAGCAUCAGGUAACAUUAAAUCGUACCCCAAACCGACACAGGUGGUCAGGUAGAGAAUACCAAGGCGCUUGAGAGAACUCGGGUGAAGGAACUAGGCAAAAUGGUGCCGUAACUUCGGGAGAAGGCACGCUGGUGUGUAGGUGAAGUCCCUGCGGAUGGAGCUGAGACCAGUCGAAGAUACCAGCUGGCUGCAACUGUUUAUUAAAAACACAGCACUGUGCAAACACGAAAGUGGACGUAUACGGUGUGACGCCUGCCCGGUGCCGGAAGGUUAAUUGAUGGGGUUAUCCGUAAGGAGAAGCUCUUGAUCGAAGCCCCGGUAAACGGCGGCCGUAACUAUAACGGUCCUAAGGUAGCGAAAUUCCUUGUCGGGUAAGUUCCGACCUGCACGAAUGGCGUAAUGAUGGCCGGGGCUGUCUCCACCCGAGACUCAGUGAAAUUGAACUCGCUGUGAAGAUGCAGUGUACCCGCGGCAAGACGGAAAGACCCCGUGAACCUUUACUAUAGCUUGACACUGAACAUUGAGCCUUGAUGUGUAGGAUAGGUGGGAGGCUUUGAAGCGUGGACGCCAGUCUGCGUGGAGCCAACCUUGAAAUACCACCCUUUAAUGUUUGAUGUUCUAACGUUGGCCCAUGACCGGGGUUGCGGACAGUGUCUGGUGGGUAGUUUGACUGGGGCGGUCUCCUCCCAAAGCGUAACGGAGGAGCACGAAGGUUAGCUAAUCCCCGGUCGGACAUCAGGAGGUUAGUGCAAUGGCAUAAGCUAGCUUGACUGCGAGCGUGACGGCGCGAGCAGGUGCGAAAGCAGGUCAUAGUGAUCCGGUGGUUCUGAAUGGAAGGGCCAUCGCUCAACGGAUAAAAGGUACUCCGGGGAUAACAGGCUGAUACCGCCCAAGAGUUCAUAUCGACGGCGGUGUUUGGCACCUCGAUGUCGGCUCAUCACAUCCUGGGGCUGAAGUAGGUCCCAAGGGUAUGGCUGUUCGCCAUUUAAAGUGGUACGCGAGCUGGGUUUAGAACGUCGUGAGACAGUUCGGUCCCUAUCUGCCGUGGGCGCUGGAGAAUUGAGGGGGCUGCUCCUAGUACGAGAGGACCGGAGUGGACGCAUCACUGGUGUUCGGGUUGUCAUGCCAAUGGCACUGCCCGGUAGCUAAAUGCGGAAGAGAUAAGUGCUGAAAGCAUCUAAGCACGAAACUUGCCCCGAGAUGAGUUCUCCCUGAGACUAUAAGUCUCCUGAAGGAACGUUAAAGACGAUGACGUUGAUAGGCCGGGUGUGUAAGCGCAGCGAUGCGUUGAGCUAACCGGUACUAAUGAACCGUGAGGCUUAACCUU
rnacentral:rRNA from 1 species